UUAAAAAAUUACAUUUUAAAAUGCAAUUUUCCUCUCAGUUUAGGAGGGCCAUCCUAAGAGUAGGACUAGCUCUUAAAGACAUGAGAGAACAGU
rnacentral:snoRNA from 1 species